rnacentral:rRNA from 1 species
CCUACGGGCGGCAGCAGUGGGGAAUAUUGCACAAUGGGCGCAAGCCUGAUGCAGCCAUGCCGCGUGUGUGAAGAAGGCCUUCGGGUUGUAAAGCACUUUCAGCGGGGAGGAAGGCGUUAAGGUUAAUAACCUUGGCGAUUGACGUUACCCGCAGAAGAAGCACCGGCUAACUCCGUGCCAGCAGCCGCGGUAAUACGGAGGGUGCACGCGUUAAUCGGAAUUACUGGGCGUAAAGCGCACGCAGGCGGUCUGUCAAGUCGGAUGUGAAAUCCCCGGGCUCAACCUGGGAACUGCAUUCGAAACUGGCAGGCUAGAGUCUUGUAGAGGGGGGUAGAAUUCCAGGUGUAGCGGUGAAAUGCGUAGAGAUCUGGAGGAAUACCGGUGGCGAAGGCGGCCCCCUGGACAAAGACUGACGCUCAGGUGCGAAAGCGUGGGGAGCAAACAGGAUUAGAUACCCCAGUAGUC